UGAAACCGUGUGCUUACAAGUAGUCAGAGCCCGUUAAUGGGUGAUGGCGUGCCUUUUGUAGAAUGAACCGGCGAGUUACGAUCUGAUGCAAGGUUAAGCAGAAAAUGUGGAGCCGUAGCGAAAGCGAGUCUGAAUAGGGCGAAUGAGUAUUUGGUCGUAGACCCGAAACCAGGUGAUCUACCCUUGGUCAGGUUGAAGUUCAGGUAACACUGAAUGGAGGACCGAACCGACUUACGUUGAAAAGUGAGCGGAUGAACUGAGGGUAGCGGAGAAAUUCCAAUCGAACUUGGAGAUAGCUGGUUCUCUCCGAAAUAGCUUUAGGGCUAGCCUCAAGUGAUGAUUAUUGGAGGUAGAGCACUGUUUGGACGAGGGGCCCCUCUCGGGUUACCGAAUUCAGACAAACUCCGAAUGCCAAAUAAUUUAACUUGGGAGUCAGAAUGUGGGUGAUAAGGUCCAUAUUCGAAAGGGAAACAGCCCAGACCACCAGCUAAGGUCCCAAAAUAUAUGUUAAGUGGAAAAGGAUGUGGCGUUGCCCAGACAACUAGGAUGUUGGCUUAGAAGCAGCCAUCAUUUAAAGAGUGCGUAAUAGCUCACUAGUCGAGUGACACUGCGCCGAAAAUGUACCGGGGCUAAACAUAU
rnacentral:rRNA from 1 species